AUCGCACAAACAAGUCCUGGAAAGGAAGCGAGAGAUACCAACAACAACGGCGGCAGCAGCAGCAGCAGAUUGUAUGUCCGUGCAUGUCCCGUGUAUGAUCGAAUCCUCUCGCCCGCCCCGCCCUACCUCAAGGGAACAUAUAUCCAUCCAUCGCGUACUGAAUCGCGCGCCGUGUCAACCCUGCGCUGGGGGAAAAUAUAACCAGGCGCGCAAGGUUGAUCUUUGUUGUUGAUCUUUCUUCUUACCUGAGGAAAACCCGGAUCGAGACGAUCGAGUCUGACUGGCUGGCUGUGCUAUUUAGGCGGUCCGUGGUGUUUUGAUGUUGGUAGUACGUGGGAUAUAUAAAUAAGUGUGGACGGUGGAGGGCCCGUAUAUAUCUUUGUAUAUAUACAUCUAUAUAUGCACGCACUCACAUCAAAAGAGCGAGAGUGAGACCCUGACCCCGACCUUCCGCAUAUACAUACAUCCUUUUCCGGUAAAGAUUUAAGAGGAAAUAAAAAGAAAGAACAUGGCACGACUCAGCCGCACCACACCUAAGGCCGUGGUGGAUACCAGAGGAAAAGAUUCCGACAUCGACGAUACGUACAACACCGGUACAAACACCAAGUCUAUGUACAGCUACAAUUACACCGACGAAGACAAGUCCUGGGCGGAAGCCCGGACGCGCCGUGGGGCAACCUCUCGCUCCCUGAAGGCAGCCACCACAACCACCAGCUCUACAAACGCAAACGCAAACGCAGGCGCAGGCGCAGCAAGAAGCGGAAAACAGCAAAACGCCCCGGCCGACCCCCGAAGCCCAACCAAGACUAAGACCAAACCCACACCCAAGACAGGUACAAGCACAGGCACAGGCACAGGUUCUAAUACCAAAACCACCCCUGCCGUGGAGAAUGCCGUCGCAACGCACACUGAAACCCUUAUUAGCCCAGCACAACUUCCAACAAGCACCCGUUACAGACAACGUCGACGCCAGCUGGGCCGUCGGCACGCUGAUGUCCUCCUCAUGCCGUUCUCGGCACCGACGCAGGCGGAGACGGUGAUUGGUAAGUAUGAUGGUUCGACGCCUGGGCGCGGACUGGGAGAUGUGGAAAUUGCGCCGUUGCCGGA
rnacentral:sRNA from 1 species